CUCUGGGUCCGCCUGUUGACUCAGGGCAGAAAGAG
rnacentral:ncRNA from 1 species